GCGAGUGGCGGACGGGUGAGGAAUGCAUCGGAAUCUACUCUGUCGUGGGGGAUAACGUAGGGAAACUUACGCUAAUACCGCAUACGACCUACGGGUGAAAGCAGGGAUCUUCGGACCUUGCGCGAUUGAAUGAGCCGAUGCCCGAUUAGCUAGUUGGCGGGGUAAGAGCCCACCAAGGCGACGAUCGGUAGCUGUCUGAGAGGAUGAUCAGCACACUGAACUGAGACACGGUCCAGACUCCUACGGGGAGGCAGCAGUGGGGAAUAUUGGACAAUGGGCGCAAGCCUGAUCCAGGCCAUACCGCGUGGGUGAAGAAGGCCUUCGGGUUGUAAAGCCCUUUUGUUGGGAAAGAAAAGCAUUCGGUUAAUACCCGAUUGUUCUGACGGUACCCAAAGAAUAAGCACCGGCUAACUUCGUGCCAGCAGCCGCGGUAAUACGAAGGGUGCAAGCGUUACUCGGAAUUACUGGGCGUAAAGCGUGCGUAGGUGGUUGUUUAAGUCUGUCGUGAAAGCCCUGGGCUCAACCUGGGAAUUGCGAUGGAAACUGGGCGACUAGAGUGUGGCAGAGGGUAGUGGAAUUCCUGGUGUAGCAGUGAAAUGCGUAGAGAUCAGGAGGAACAUCCGUGGCGAAGGCGACUGCCUGGGCCAACACUGACACUGAGGCACGAAAGCGUGGGGAGCAAACAGGAUUAGA
rnacentral:rRNA from 1 species